ACUCCUACGGGAGGCAGCAGUGGGGAAUAUUGCACAAUGGGCGCAAGCCUGAUGCAGCCAUGCCGCGUGUGUGAAGAAGGCCUUCGGGUUGUAAAGCACUUUCAGCGGGGAGGAAGGCGAUACGGUUAAUAACCGUGUUGAUUGACGUUACCCGCAGAAGAAGCACCGGCUAACUCCGUGCCAGCAGCCGCGGUAAUACGGAGGGUGCAAGCGUUAAUCGGAAUUACUGGGCGUAAAGCGCACGCAGGCGGUCUGUCAAGUCGGAUGUGAAAUCCCCGGGCUCAACCUGGGAACUGCAUUCGAAACUGGCAGGCUUGAGUCUUGUAGAGGGGGGUAGAAUUCCAGGUGUAGCGGUGAAAUGCGUAGAGAUCUGGAGGAAUACCGGUGGCGAAGGCGGCCCCCUGGACAAAGACUGACGCUCAGGUGCGAAAGCGUGGGGAGCAAACAGGAUUAGAUACCCCUGUAGUCCCAUG
rnacentral:rRNA from 1 species